rnacentral:rRNA from 1 species
AACGAACGCUGGCGGCGUGGAUAAGACAUGCAAGUCGAGCGCUGAUUUUCCCAGUAGCAAUAUUGGGAGAGUUGGAGCGGCGCAAGGGUGCGUAACACGUGGAUCAUCUGCCUGGAAGUUCGGAAUAAUCCCGAGAAAUCGGGACUAAUGCCGGAUGUGGUUGAAAGACUAAAGUUGGGGACCGCAAGGCCUGACGCUUCCAGAUGAGUCCGCGGCCUAUCAGCUAGUUGGCGGGGUAAUGGCCCACCAAGGCUAAGACGGGUAGCUGGUCUGAGAGGACGACCAGCCACACUGGAACUGAGACACGGUCCAGACACCUACGGGUGGCAGCAGUCGAGAAUUUUUCUCAAUGGGCGAAAGCCUGAAGGAGCGACGCCGCGUGGGGGAUGAAGGGCUUCGGUCCGUAAACCCCUGUCAUUUGCGAACAAACCUUACCAAUGAACAAUUGGUGAGCUGAUUGUAGCGAAAGAGGAAGGGACGGCUAACUCUGUGCCAGCAGCCGCGGUAAUACAGAGGUCCCAAGCGUUGUUCGGAUUCACUGGGCGUAAAGGGUGCGCAGGUGGGUUGGCAAGUUCGAUGUGAAAGCCCCGGGCUUAACCCGGGAAUGGCAUUGGAAACUGCUGAUCUGGAGGAUCGGAGGGGGGACUGGAAUUCUUGGUGUAGCAGUGAAAUGCGUAGAUAUCAAGAGGAACACCAGUGGCGAAGGCGAGUCCCUGGACGAUACCUGACACUGAGGCACGAAAGCCAAGGGAGCAAACAGGAUUAGAUACCCUGGUAGUCUUGGCUGUAAACGGUGCGCAUUUGCUGUAAACGGAAUCGACCCCGUUUGUGGCGUAGCUAACGCGAUAAAUGCGCCGCCUGGGAAGUACGGUCGCAAGAUUAAAACUCAAAGAAAUUGACGGGGGCCUGCACAAGCGGUGGAGUAUGUGGCUUAAUUCGAUGCAACGCGAAGAACCUUACCUGGCCUUGACAUGCAUGUGGUAGAACCAUGAAAGUGGGACGACCCCGCAAGGGGAGCAUGCACAGGUGCUGCAUGGCUGUCGUCA